rnacentral:rRNA from 2 species
UGGGGAAUAUUGCACAAUGGAGGGAACUCUGAUGCAGCGACGCCGCGUGAACGAAGAAGGCUUUCGAGUCGUAAAGUUCUUUUAUAUGGGAAGAUAAUGACGGUACCAUAAGAAAAAGCCCCGGCUAACUACGUGCCAGCAGCCGCGGUAAUACGUAGGGGGCUAGCGUUGUCCGGAAUCACUGGGCGUAAAGGGUUCGCAGGCGGAAAUGCAAGUCAGGUGUAAAAGGCAGUAGCUUAACUACUGUAAGCAUUUGAAACUGCAUAACUUGAGAAGAGUAGAGGUAAGUGGAAUUUUUAGUGUAGCGGUGAAAUGCGUAGAUAUUAAAAAGAAUACCGGUGGCGAAGGCGACUUACUGGGCUCAUUCUGACGCUGAGGAACGAAAGCGUGGGUAGCAAACAGG